rnacentral:rRNA from 1 species
UAAUUGAAGGGUUUGAUCCUGGCUCAGAAUGAACGUUGGCGGCGUGGAUUAGGCAUGCAAGUCGAGCGAGAUACCUGUUUUUGCUUGCAUUAACGGGUGGACAGCGGCGAAAGGGAGAGUAACGCGUAGAUUAUCUGCCCCCAGGACCGGGAUAGCGGCGGGAAACUGCCGGUAAUACCGGAUAAUAUCUCAGGAUCAAAGGUGAGAUUCCGCCUGGGGAUGGGUCUGCGUCCUACUAGCUUGUUGGUGAGGUAACGGC